UGGGCAACGGUGGAAAGGGCAGAGCACGAGCAAAGAAUAGCAUUUGACUGGGUUUGACUCUUCCAUCUCUUUACUGUACAUGACAUCGACCGAUCUGUCUUCAGAUGGCAAGGCAAAACCCAACAGCCUGGAUCGACCAAGCCCACUUCGUACUGAGUGGUCAACCGCAAAUAGAGCAGCUCUUCUUCUCGUUCCAUGCCUUUCUCAACCCUCUCUGGCUCUCUCUCGUGGUUGGACUUUCUUGUUUCUGCUAACGAAAUGGCAAGAAAUCUUGAGGUAUAUAUGUCUCCCCUUGUUCAUGUUUAUCUUGAGUUGUCAAUGCCUUCUUGAACCUCCUGUCUCCCCUCUUGCUGGGAAUAAAGAAAGAUUGAAAUAUUAUGGCUUUGAUUCAAUAUCUGCUGUUAUAUUAAUUCAAUCUUAGAUGGUCUUUUUUUGUUGCUGCUUGUCUUAUUACAUUGAAGCGUUUCCAGACAUAAUAAGUAGGUUCGUCACAGUACAUGAUUGUUCUUGUGUCUGUGAAUUUUUGCUGGCUUUCUGAUUUGAUUUUCUGUUUCCAUCUUGCAUUUUGGAGGAAGGAAAAUGGCUGGCUACUUUUGUUGAAGCGAAGUUGAAACAGAGUGCUUUUCUUUCUUUCUUUCUUUUCUGCAACCCAAAAAUAGGGAAAAUUCAAAGGAAAGAUUGAAAAAUUCAAUUAUUUCUUGAUAGGAUAGAAAGAAAAAGGCAGUUAUUGAAUUUUAUUGGAUUUUGUUAUGACUUGGAAAGGGGUUAGGAAGCUGAUGGGGAUUGAUGUUUUCAGUUCCUGUCAAUGGAAAUGUUGCGUGCACAAAAGUCAGCAACGGGAAAAGUGGGUUGACAUAAAAUCAACAAUCUGGUUGAGUUUUAUUUAUGGAAAGUAGAACUUUUAAUCAGCUUGACAUCAAAUCCAUACUUUUGUUUUGAGUUUUAAUCAUUCAAAGCUGAGUUUUUACUUGGUGAAGGUUAUUUUUCUUUAAACAUUUGAUGUUUGGCUCACUAGUCGAACAGUGUUGAUUUGGGUGCUAAUGCUAAUCCUUGCUUGUGAUUUCUAAAAUGAUGAUGUAUGGUAAUUUAAGGAAAGUUAUGGUCUUGGCUGUUAUGCCAUACAGUUCUCAUUGUGGGGAUUAAUUACCUUUAAUAUGGUACAUUUCUUAAGUCUCCCAUUUGAGUGCUUCUUAGGCUUGUUCAUUGUGUUUCCUUUUGUCCUUGAGAAUAUUGAUUUGGACCAUUGAUUAAUAGCGGAGAGAUUUCCAUUUAGAGAAAAAACAAUUGCAUGAGUCUUCUAAAUAUGUGGUUGAUUGGGAGAAGAAUGUCUAGUAUACUCGGUCAAUAAACAAUAUGAAGUAACCCAUAAAAUUGCUAAGAGUGUUCCUGGUACGAGGAUUUGUGUUGCGUGCUUGUAUCAGUGAGCUCCCUUCUGACAUGAAUGGAAAGCAGCAUAGGAAUUUCUGGAUGCUCUCUCAAAUGUCCAAGGUUCGACUUUUCCAAUAGGUUUACUUUUAAUCUCUGUCAGUGUGUUUGUUUACUAAGGGAGUGUGAUCAAAUGUCCUAGAAAAGGAACUGCCUUCGCCUAUUUUUCUGCUCUUAUCAAACUGUUAAAGAUCAACUACCAGAUCAUAGCAAGUCUACUGUGAGAUGAUACCAUCUGUUGCAUUAUAAUCUCUCCAUGUAUCUCUGCAGUCUUGAUAGAAAAAUGAUUAGAUGGUACCUUUAAUGAAUUACUGCAAAAUAUUAGCAAAAUGUGGCGCCAAAUGGUGUUAUCCUGGUGGUGAAAAUGCACAUGAUUUGUUGUAAACCAAGUUAGGAGGUGCAGAUAGUCUUCAGGAAGAAGUUGAUGGUAUUCUUCUUUGUGCUCUGAUCUAAAAGUAAAAAAUAUCUGAAAUAGUUAGAUUUAAUGUUAAUUUAACACGUGAAAUGAUCUGGUAAGCAGGUGUCAGUAUCGGAUUGUGCUCAGCUCAGAUACCUUGUAGAAGUGGUACAGUUGGGAAAGAAAGUGCAGAAACUGAACUUUAUUUUCACAUGAUCAUUUGUUUGAGUUAAGAAUUCAUACGAUGGCAUUCUUGUUACAAAAGGUUGAUUGAAUGUGAGUGUGCUUAUAGGAGGCUUUCAACAAGCUGAAAUGUUUCCAGGAAAUUUUUAAGUCUUACAUAAUGUGAUACUUGUUUCCUUGGAGAUAUGGUAUGGUGUUUGGUAAUGGUGAUAUGCUAAGACAACAUGUCAUUUCAGCUGGGUGCAUCGAGUUUCUGUCAUAUGCUUAGCAUGAGAUGCAUAGGCACGUUGCAUGCGUGGCUUAAGCUUGAGGGGCUUAAUCAUGUGAGCCAUUGAGUGCACUAAGCAUAUUGGAAUAAAGUAAUAUGGAUGGAAGAUUGCUGCUCUGCUGCAUAGCAUGGUGAGCCAAAAAAGUGCACACGGUGGGGUUCGGAGAUGCCAAAAUGCAGGUCACCGAAUAUCAAUCAAGAAAUGGCUGCCAAAUAAAAAGAGUUCAAUCAUGGAGAGGGUGGGUUACUUUCCUGACAGAAAACAAGUCAGUAACUGACGUGGAAUCUCAUUCGAGUGCAAUCCGUGAUAAUACCAAACAAUGGAGAUGGCGCAGAUGGUCUCUGUGAUACUUGAUUAAUUUUCAUGCCUGCGUUGAAGGCAGAGAAUUUUACAAACGUUAAUUACUACCUCUUGAUUAUUGUUACGACCACAACUGUUGAUCACUGUGAAUGUAAAAUAAUGGAAGUGAAUUUUCUAACGAAGUUGCUUUAAUUAUUAGGGAGUAAAACUUCGUUUUGUUGAACUUCAACUGUGAACCGACUUACAUGUUCUGAUGUGCUCAAGGCUGGAAUGGCAUCUACUUCGUGUUUUCAGUUCCCUACGAAGGACAAAAAUGUAUACUGUCUCAGUAUACACGAAAUACUUGAUGGUAUCAAAAAAAUGUCUUAUUACUGGUCUACAUGUAGUAAUCAUUAUAUAAGUUCUAACUAUUUGUGCUUGUUCUUGAUUCUGUUGAAGACAUCGGAUGUCAAGUCCAGUUGCCAAUGCCUUGUCUUCUUGCGUCUCCUUUUCUUUUCCUUGUCUAAAAUUUUCAAGUGCUCAACUAUGUAUAUAUAUAUAUGGCAUUCCUUGGUAACCGUUAAUCAUAUUUUACAUUUUUAUUUCUUCUUGCUGUAGUUCCCUUGAUUCCGAGCCUCCAAGUUAUGCUUUUGAAUUUAAAAGUUCUGGGAUUUAUUGGAGGAAAAUAAGAUGAUGACAUCUUCAAACUGAUAAAGACGCUUUCAUUCUAAUUUGAAUCUGAAACAGGUUACGGAUUAGAGCCUGUGAAUGACAUC